GAUGAACGCUGGCGGCGUGCCUAAUACAUGCAAGUCGAGCGAACAGACGAGGAGCUUGCUCCUCUGACGUUAGCGGCGGACGGGUGAGUAACACGUGGAUAACCUACCUAUAAGACUGGGAUAACUUCGGGAAACCGGAGCUAAUACCGGAUAAUAUAUUGAACCGCAGGGUUCAAUAGUAAAAGACGGUUUUGCUGUCACUUAUAGAUGGAUCCGCGCCGCAUUAGCUAGUUGUUAAGGUAACGGCUUACCACGGCAACGAUGCGUGGCCGACGUGAGAGGGUGGUAGGCCACCCUAGAGCUGAGACACGGUCCAGAGUACUGCGGUAGGGCGCAGUAGGCAACCUUCCGCAACGGGCGAAAACAUUGCGGAGCGACGCGGAGCGAGUGGUGACGGCCCUGCGAUCGUAAUACCCUGUUACGAGUGGAAAACAAAUGUGUACGUAACUAUGCACGUCUUGACGGUAACUAGUCAAAAAGCACCGGCUAACUACGUG
rnacentral:rRNA from 1 species